rnacentral:rRNA from 1 species
UACGAAGGGGGCUAGCGUUGCUCGGAAUCACUGGGCGUAAAGCGCACGUAGGUGGGUCGCUAAGUCGGGGGUGAAAUCCUGGAGCUCAACUCCAGAACUGCCUUCGAUACUGGCGAUCUUUGAGUCCGGGAGAGGUGGGUGGAACUGCGAGUGUAGAGGUGAAAUUCGUAGAUAUUCGCAGGAACACCAGUGGCGAAGGCGGCUCACUGGCCCGAUACUGACGCUGAGGUGCGAAAGCGUGGGGAGCAAACAGG